rnacentral:rRNA from 1 species
UACGGAGGGGGCUAGCGUUGCUCGGAAUCACUGGGCGUAAAGGGUGCGCAGGCGGCAGAGCAAGUCGAGUGUGAAAGCCCCGGGCUUAACUUGGGAAUUGCGCUCGAAACUACUUUGCUGGAGUGUGGCAGAGGAAGGUGGAAUUCCACGUGUAGCGGUGAAAUGCGUAGAGAUGUGGAGGAACACCAAUGGCGAAGGCAGCCUUCUGGGCCAACACUGACGCUCAUGCACGAAAGCGUGGGGAGCAAACAGG